rnacentral:lncRNA from 1 species
AACAUAGACACUCUUCACUGUUAACAUAUUUUGGCGAGCUAGCCAGGAGGAAGAGAUAAGCCCAAAGUCUGGGAUUUAUUCUUCUCCUUUCUCCUUUUCCUUUCUGCUCCAAACAGGCGAAUCUCUUUCUCUCUCUUUUCCUUUCCAACCUGGGACCCUUGGUGGGCAGCACCUAAACAUGGAAGCAACUGCAGGUUUCUGGCCAUGGUCAGUGAAACUAAGGGGUUUCCACAGGCAAAGCCCAACCACCACUGCCCAAUUUGCUUAAGGAAUCUGGGUCUUUUUCAUUUUUUUACUCUUCUUUUUUUUUUUUUUUUUCCGUCUUUCAAUGGCUGUUUCCUAGUAGCUCCUUGGAAACUGAGGACAAUUGGCUGAGGUCACUCCCCAGUGUUGCCUGAAGGCCUAGGAACAAAUGGGAAUAAUUGCCCUACCCAGAAGGGGAAAGGACUUUUUAAAAAUCUUUUCCACACCUGGUCCCUGAUUCCUAUGUGUGGUGCAGUUUGGAGCAAACUACCUGUUUCAGGUGACUCAAACUUUCUUUUCUUAUGCUAAAUUCUUCACUUCCCCUAUUCAACUGGCUAAGGGCAAAGGAAACCCACCAAGCCUCCAGUUCCUGUCAUUAAAGUUUAUGGAAUGGGAUAAGUUAUGGAAUGGGAUUUGAUAAGCGUGGCCUUAUCAAAUUAUAAGGAUGCUAAAAGUCGAGUUUUACACCCAGGAAACAGCUCACAGUAGGCUCUGGAGGGAAUGCAUGCAAAGUGGCACCGGUGCCCACCUAAGGCCAAGAGACAUCUGGAACUCUUAAGAUUGAACCCCACAGGAGGACACUCGGAGGGGAUCAUCCGGAACUCAAACUUUCCAAAGAAGAUGCUCUCUGCAGAGAGACCAUCGAGCUUCAGAUGAUCACUCAACAAAGGCUCCAGCAAGUUCCAGGUGAAGACACCACCCCUGGCCAUCAAGGAGCUACCCUGCCUCCACUAGACACAGCAGGAAGCCAUUGGCUGCUCUUUGCAAGGAAUCCUUAGACAGACCUCUGGGAGGAAUCUGACUACUGUUUUCCCCAAAACAAUACGCCAUCAGCAGGAAGCGGCUAAGACCAGUCAUCAUCCAUAUUUUAAAGGCAGUUACACGUACUUCUUCAGAGGGGGAAAAUGAUAUGGAAGGGAGGAAGGGAAUUGCUGGGAAGGGAAGGGCAUGGUCCCUUUA